GCUUACGACCACACCGGCCUGAGUACGCCUGAUCUCGUCUGAUCUCGGAAGCUAUGCUGGGUCGGGCCUGGUUAGUACUUGGAUGGGAGACCGCCUGGGAAUACCAGGUGCUGUAAGCU
rnacentral:rRNA from 1 species